GUCUUUUCAGAGACAUCCGAUAAAAUUGGAAUGAUAUAGAGAAGAUUAGCAUGGCUCCUACAAGGAUGACAUGCACAAACCUAGAAAUGGUGCACAUUCAA
rnacentral:snRNA from 1 species